rnacentral:rRNA from 1 species
AGAGUUUGAUCCUGGCUCAGGAUGAACGCUAGCGGCAGGCUUCAUACAUGCAAGUCGAGGGGCAGCAUAAAUUACUUGUAAUUUGAUGGCGACCGGCGAACGGGUGCGUAACGCGUAUGCAACUUACCUUUUACUAGAGAAUAGCCAAGAGAAAUUUUGAUUAAUGCUCUAUGUUCUUAUUUACACGCAUGAGUAAAUAAGCAAAGCUCCGGCGGUAAAAGAUGGGCAUGCGUCCUAUUAGCUUGUAGGUGAGGUAAUGGCUCACCUAAGCUCCGAUAGGUAGGGGUCCUGAGAGGGAGAUCCCCCACACUGGUACUGAGACACGGACCAGACUUCUACGGAAGGCAGCAGUAAGGAAUAUUGGACAAUGGAGGCAACUCUGAUCCAGCCAUGCCGCGUGAAGGAAGACGGCCUUAUGGGUUGUAAACUUCUUUUAUACAGGAAGAAACCUUUCCACGUGUGGAAAGCUGACGGUACUGUAAGAAUAAGGAUCGGCUAACUCCGUGCCAGCAGCCGCGGUAAUACGGAGGAUCCAAGCGUUAUCCGGAAUUAUUGGGUUUAAAGGGUCCGCAGGCUGUUUGUUAAGUCAGAGGUGAAAUCCUACCGCUCAACGGUAGAACUGCCUUUGAUACUGGCAAACUUGAGUUAUUGUGAAGUAGUUAGAAUGUGUAGUGUAGCGGUGAAAUGCAUAGAUAUUACACAGAAUACCGAUUGCGAAAGCAGAUUACUAACAAUAUACUGACGCUGAGGGACGAAAGCGUGGGUAGCGAACAGGAUUAGAUACCCUGGUAGUCCACGCCGUAAACGAUGGUCACUAGCUGUUCGAUGUACAUUGGUACGUUGAGUGGCUAAGCGAAAGUGAUAAGUGACCCACCUGGGGAGUACGCUCGCAAGAGUGAAACUCAAAGGAAUUGACGG